GUGCCAGCCGCCGCGGUAGUACCGGCAGCCCAAGUGAUGGCCGCUGUUAUUGGGCCUAAAGCGUCCGUAGCUGGCCGCACGAGUCCGUCGGGAAAUCCGCCCGCUCAACGGGCGGCCGUCCGGCGGAACCUGUGUGGCUUGGGACCGGGAGGCUCGAAGGGUACGUGCGGGGUAGGAGUGAAAUCCCAUAAUCCCGCACGGACCACCGAUGGCGAAAGCACUUCGAGAAAACGGAUCCGACAGUGAGGGACGAAAGCCAGGGUCUCCAACCGGAUUAGAAACCCCGGUAGUCC
rnacentral:rRNA from 1 species